rnacentral:rRNA from 1 species
AGUGAACGCUGGCGGCGUGCUUAACACAUGCAAGUCGAACGAGAACGGAUUAUAGCUUGCUAUAAUUGUCAGCUAAGUGGCGCACGGGUGAGUAAUGUAUAGGUAAUAUGCCUCUUGCUAAGGGAUAACAAAUGGAAACGUUUGCUAAUACCUUAUACUCCUUAUUAACAGAAGUUAAUAAGGGAAAGAUUUAUUGGUAAGAGAUUAGCCUGUAUUGUAUCAGUUAGUUGGUGGGGUAAUGGCUUACCAAGACUAUGACACAUAACUGGUUUGAGAGGAUGAUCAGUCACACUGGAACUGAGACACGGUCCAGACUCAUACGGGAGGCAGCAGUGGGGAAUAUUGCACAAUGGACGAAAGUCUGAUGCAGCAACGCCGCGUGGAGGAUGACACAUUUCGGUGCGUAAACUCCUUUUAUAUGAGAAGAUAAUGACGGUAUUAUAUGAAUAAGCACCGGCUAACUCCGUGCCAGCCGCCGCUAUAAGAC